GACGAACGCCGGCGGCGUGCUUAACACAUGCAAGUCGAACGGUGAAGCGCCUUCCUUUUUGGUGGGUGUGGAUGAGUGGCGAACGGGUGAGUAACACGUGAGUAACCUGCCCCCUUCUUCUGGAUAACCGCAUGAAAGUGUGGCCAAUACGGGAUAUUCUGGGUCUGUCGCAUGAUGGGUCUGGGAAAGAUAUUGUUUCGGUGGGGGAUGGGCUCGCGGCCUAUCAGCUUGUUGGUGGGGUGAUGGCCUACCAAGGCGGUGACGGGUAGCCGGCCUGAGAGGGUGGACGGUCACACUGGGGCUGAGACACGGCCCAGACUCCUACGGGCGGCAGCAGUGGAGACUAUUGCACAGUGGGCGCAAGCCUGAUGCCGCGACGCCGCGUGAGGGAUGGAGGCCUUCGGGUUGUGAACCUCUUUCGCCAGUGAAGCAGGCCUGCCUCGUUUGUGGGUGGGUUGACGGUAGCUGGAUAAGAAGCGCCGGCUAACUACGUG
rnacentral:rRNA from 1 species